UNUGGUCUGUCACUGACGCUGAGGCUCGAAAGCGUGGGUAGCGAACAGGAUUAGAUACCCUGGUAGUCCACNCCGUAAACGCUGAGUGCUAGGUGUUAGGUCCUUUCCGGGANUUAGUGCCGACGCUAACGCAUUAAGCACUCCGCCUGGGGAGUACGACCGCAAGGUUGAGACUCAAAGGAAUUGACGGGGGCCCGCACAAGCGGUGGAGCAUGUGGUUUAAUUCGAAGCAACGCGAAGAACCUUACCAGGUCUUGACAUCCCGAUGCCCGCUCUAGAGAUAGAGUUUUACUUUUUGUACAUCGGAGACAGGUGGUGCAUGGUUGUCGUCAGCUCGUGUCGUGAGAUGUUGGGUUAAGUCCCGCAACGAGCGCAACCCUUAUUGUUAGUUGCCAUCAUUAAGUUGGGCACUCUAGCGAGACUGCCGGUAAUAAACCGGAGGAAGGUGGGGAUGACGUCAAAUCAUCAUGCCCCUUAUGACCUGGGCUACACACGUGCUACAAUGGUUGGUACAACGAGUCGCAAGCCGGUGACGGCAAGCUAAUCUCUGAAAGCCAAUCUCAGUUCGGAUUGUAGGCUGCAACUCGCCUACAUGAAGUCGGAAUCGCUAGUAAUCGCGGAUCAGCACGCCGCGGUGAAUACGUUCCCGGGCCUUGUACAC
rnacentral:rRNA from 1 species